GACGAACGCUGGCGGCGUGCUUAACACAUGCAAGUCGAACGGAAAGGCCCUGCUUUUGUGGUGUGCUCGAGUGGCGAACGGGUGAGUAACACGUGAGUAACCUGCCCUUGAUUUUGGGAUAAUUUCAGGAAACUGGGGCUAAUACCGGAUAGGAGCUCCUGCUGCAUGGUGGGGGUUGGAAAGUGUCGGCGGUUGGGGAUGGACUCGCGGCUUAUCAGCUUGUUGGUGGGGUAGUGGCUUACCAAGGCUUUGACGGGUAGCCGGCCUGAGAGGGUGACCGGCCACAUUGGGACUGAGAUACGGCCCAGACUCCUACGGGAGGCAGCAGUGGGGAGUAUUGCACAAUGGGCGGGAGCCUGAUGCAGCGACGCCGCGUGCGGGAUGACGGCCUUCGGGUUGUAAACCGCUUUCGCCUGUGACGAAGCGUGAGUGACGGUAAUGGGAAAAGAAGCACCGGCUAACUACGUG
rnacentral:rRNA from 1 species